UACGGAGGGUGCGAGCGUUGUCCGGAAUCACUGGGCGUAAAGGGCGCGUAGGUGGCGCGGGAAGUCAACGGUGAAAGUUCGGGGCUCAACCCUGAAUCGGCCGUCGAUACUCCCGGGCUCGAGCACUGUAGAGGCAGAUGGAAUUCCGGGUGUAGCGGUGGAAUGCGUAGAGAUCCGGCAGAAGACCGGUGGCGAAGGCGGCCCCCUGGGCAGUAACUGACACUGAGGCGCGACAGCGUGGGGAGCAAACAGG
rnacentral:rRNA from 1 species